AGUAUCUGAUAAAAUAUUUUUAUAUAAAUAUUUUAUUUAAAAACUUAAGGAAUUGAAUCAUCUUAGUACUUAAAGGAAUAAAAAGUAAUAACGAUUUUCAUAGUAGCGGCGAGCGAAUUGAAAAAAAAUAAACAUUUAAAAAAAUAUGUAAAAUUUUAAUAAAGUAAUAUAAUAUAUAAUUUUAUAUAAAUAAUAUAAAAAAUAAUAAGAAUUACCUUAUAAAAUUAAAUAUAAUAAAAGUUUAUAGAGAAAAGUACCGUGAGGGAAAGAUGAAAAGAAUUUUGAAAAAAUAGUGAAAAGAAUCUGAAUUUUAAAUUUAAUAAAUUAUAAUAAAAUUUAAUUUUAAUUUUAUUAUAUUCUUGUUGAAGAAAGAAUUAGCAAGUUAUAAUAAAUAGUAUAAUAAUUAGGUUAAAUAUAUUUAAAUAAUGAAGCCAAAGUUAAAUCGAAUUUAUUUUUUUAAUAAAUUUAAAAUAUAUUAUUUAUUAUAGACCCGAAAUCAAAUGAUCUAAUUAUAUUUAAAAUAAAAUUUAAAUAAAAUUAAAUUAUAGUUUGAAUUGAUUACUGUUGCAAAAGUAUCAAAUAAAAUAUAAUUAGUGGUGAAAUGCCAAUCGAAUUUGAAGAUAGCUGGUUCUCUUUGAAAUAUAUGUAAGUAUAGUAUUUAUAUAUAAAUAAAUGUAAAACUCUUUUUUUAUUAGAUUAAUUUAAAUAAUUAAUAUUAAUAUUAAUAAUUUAAUAAUUUUAUUUAAUAAAAUAUAUAUAUUAUUAGAAAAUAAAGGAUAAGCUUUAUUUUCAAAAGGGAAACAGCCCUAAUUAUAAAUUAAGAUUUUUAAAUAUUAAUUAAGUUUUAAAAAGAAUAUAAAAUUAUAUUAAUAAUUAAAAAGUAAAUUUAGAAGCAGUUAUCUUUUAAAGAGUGCGUAAAAGCUCAUUAAUUUAAUAAUUUUAGUUCAAAAAUAAUCGAAAAUAAAUUAAUUAUCGAUAUUAUAAAAUUUAAUAUUAGUACAAUUAAAUUGGUAAAAGAGCGUUUUGAUAAAAUAUUAUUUAUAUGUAAAUUAAAAUAAUAAAAUCAAAAGUGAUAAUGCUAAUUUGAGUAAUGUAAAUAUUGGUAAAAAUCCAAUACUUCUAUAAUUUAAGGUUUCCUAUUUAUAAUUUUUUUUAAUAGGGUUAGUCGAAUCUUAAAAUGAGAUGAAACGUGUAAUUGAUAGAUAAUAAGUUAAUAUUCUUAUACUAUAUUAUAAUUUAUAUUUUAAGACUAAUAUUAAUAAUUUUAAUAUUAUUUAUAUUAUAUAAAAAUUAUUAAUAUAUUUAUUAUAAUAUAUUCGUACCGUAAACUGACACUAGUAAAUAUAUAUAUAUUAUUAAGAAGUUAAGAUAAUUUUUUUUAAGGAACUCGGCAAUUUAAUCUUGUAACUUAGGGAUAAAAGAUACUUUUUAGUUGAAAAUAAAAAAUUUAAGCGACUGUUUAACAAAAACACAAAUCUUUGCUAAAUUGAAAAAUGAUGUAUAAAGAUUGACAUCUGCCCAGUGCUAUUAUGUUAAAAUAAUAUAUGUAAUUAAAUUAUAAUAUAUAUAUAAGCUAUA
rfam:Plasmodium falciparum IGH-CR14 apicoplast scaffold Supercontig_2.852, whole genome shotgun sequence.